UGGUGGAGUGAUUUGUCUGGUUAAUUCCGUUAACGAACGAGACCUUAACCUAUUAAUUAGUGACGCGAAUCUGGUGGGCAACCAUCAGUUCGAUUCGUGGGAACACUUCUUAGAGGGACUCUCGGCAUAUCUAGCCGAUGGAAGUUUGAGGCAAAAACA
rnacentral:rRNA from 1 species